rnacentral:tRNA from 1 species
GCCCCGGUCGCGCAAUCGGUAGACGCAUCCGCCUUAAAAGCGGAUCAAGUGCCGGUUCGAAUCCGGCUCGGGGCA